UCGCCACGUUCCGCCACCACAUUCGGAGGCGACAUUUGAAAGGAUUUCGAACCCUGGAGCCCAGCGAAGGCGUCUGCGGGGGGCCAGGUCACAGUAUGACAGAGGAAAGUCAGGCCAGGGACGUGAAGCAGAAACCAUGGAGGAGUGCUGCUUGAAGGAACCCGGACUUCAUUAUUGGUGAGAGCCAAACCCGCCUGACUUUCUAAAGGGAUCUGAGCAGUCUGAGACCCCUGAGGUGAGCUGUGUAACACAGAGGAUGCAGGGAUGGGAACAUGGGAGAGGUGGACCCUGCUUCUACUACUCACCAGAGCCAAUGGGUCUAACUCCUGCAGUUGGGAACAACACAUGGAGUGUUUCUUCUUUGGAAGACGGGGAGAGAGGGAGUUAGAAAUGAAAGGACUCUGAGGAGAAUGAAGAAGAGGAAGGAGCAGAAGCUUUGCCCUCUCCCCCUUCCGGUGGUCCUUCCUCUUUUGGUUGGGGUGGAGGGAGGGCCUUUCUUGGGAAGCUCUACUCAGUGUUUCCCGGUUUAGCUUCUGCAUUUUUUACGCAGUCUUUCGGGAUGUCUCUGCAAGUGUCCAGAGUCGGAGCCACGACCUAGAGUCUCCCCAUUGCUCCAUGCUCAGCUUCUCAAGUGCGUCAUGCCGAGAUGUGGAUGUUUGCAGCUGGCAGAUUCUGUGCUGGUCACUCAUGUGAUUUCGGUCUUGUGCACUUAAGGGGCACCAGAACAACAGCCGCUAGAGAACACGUGAUGACACAGGAGAUGAGCCUGGGUACCAGAGUCAGAAUCAAAAGAAACAGUGUAGACUGAAUCUGGGUGGAGUCAAGAAAGGGCAAGUGGCCAGCCAACCAGGCCGAAGGUAGGGAUCUUGGCUUCCAAGUACCUAGCAUGAUGGCUGGAGAGAUGAGAUAGGAUUACAACAGCCAGGCUUGCAGGUUCAUCUCUGGUCUCUGGACUAGACUUGGCAGGGUCUGGAAUGCCCACCGCGGUUGAUGCAGGACCUGAUCUCCUCUCCCCUAUGGCACAUGGAUUCGUUUGUCUGCUCACAGAAAGCCCCAGAGCAGAGUCCCAGCACUUCCCCCCACUGCUGCCCCAGGGAACGGUGGUCUCUGUACCAGUCAGGUUUGGGCAGGUUUGCAGCUGUGCUCUGCGGGUAGAGCUUAGCAUGCUGCGGGUAGAGCUUAGCUUAGCAUGCUGCGGGUAGAGCUUAGCUUAGCAUGCUGCGGGUAGAGCUUAACAUGCUGCGGGUAGAGCUUAGCUUAGCAUGCCGCCGCCGGUAGAGCUUAGCUUAGCAUGCUGCGGGUAGAGUUUAGCUUAGCAUGUCGCGGGUAGAGCUUAGCUUAGCAUGCCGCCGCCGGUAGAGCUUAGCUUAGCAUGCUGCGGGUAGAGCUUAGCUUAGCAUGCCGCGGGUAGAGCUUAGCAUGCAGCAGGGAGGCAGAAACCCGGACUUCAGAGUGGCGCGGAGGUUGGGGGGUGCACACCACCUGAUUGGGUUCGGAGAUUAGAGGGUCUAGAAUGCGGAGUCAGGGGUGAACUCAGAGAAGAUGCAGGCCAACAUUUUGAGGCACAGUAUCUAAAAUAGCCUGCGCUGGCCUUGAAUUCUCUAUGUAGCCGAGGUUCGCUGUGAACUCCUGAUCCUCUGGCUUGAUCAAGUGCUGAGAUGAUAUGCAUGUGCCACCAUGCCCUGCUCCAACAUUCCUCCUUUUAAGGAGACAGGAAGGAGUGAUGCUGUAGCACAGUGAUAAAGGGGAAGGACACAGAGGACACAAAAGCCCAGGAAAAAUGAGUAUUCUACCAAGUCACCCAGACUGGGAACAGUAAACAGUCCUGUCGGUGUCUACCAUGCUGGUCACCAGCCUUGAAUUAAAGCGGCGUCAGCCCUGCAGGGGGCAGUGUUGAAUUAGUAUUGGCAAUUUGGAACGGGGGUGGGGGGUGGGGAAGAGAUUGGGAAGUAGAAUUCCCGUCACCCAACUACAAGCAAAACAAACAAACAACAACAACAACAACAACAAAAAACGAGACCUGUGUUGGCACAAAUUGGAUUCUGAAAAAGAGGGUGUGAAAUUGAUGGGGUAGGGACAUGGGGGCCGAUCUGAGAGGAGUUAAGGGAAGGAGUGUGUGUGUGGGGGGGUGAGUGAAUAUACGAGUUUCCAGACUGCUUUAGAAAACUUCUUAUUUCACCUUUGUGGCCAGAAUCUCACAGGGGUAAUUGAGUACAAUUUCAUUAAUUUUGCUCAUUAAUUAAUGAGGUGGGCAUUCAGGUCCUAUCUACAUUUCUGUUAUGAUACAGUGAUUUUUGAAAUAGUCUGCAAUUUCCAUUUUUGUUAGUUAUUCUAAGAGUUAUUAAAAUAAGUUUUUAAUACCCAAGUGAAUAGAUUUCCCCUCCUGUUAGGUCCAAAGCAGCCCCCCAAAGGGGCAGAGCUGGCGACCAUGUCCCAAACAGAAGGACUCUGGCUGGGAAACAGAAGCCUAAAGGCAUUUUUCUCUUUACCAGAAAGCAGAUCUCAUAAGGUAGGUUUCUGUUUACCAGAAAGCAGAUCUCAUAAGGUAGGUUUCUGUUUACCAGGAACCUUCCUUCAUCUGCCCUUAAAGGUCCAACUACCUUGGGCAAGGGCGUCUAGUUCUGGGUCAAUCAGAAUGGUUUGCAUCAGCUCAAAAAACCCACCCUGUGGGCUGCCUAUAAAGCCUGCCAUCUUGCUUUUCUGCCAUCUUGCUUUUCUCUGUUCCCCUCCCCCAUCGUCUUGGCAGUCCCAUCCCCAGUAAACUUUUCUUUCUACCCAUGGCUUCACUUUGUCCUCACUUACACUUCCUUUCAUACAUCAUUUUAUUUCCUUGCAGUCUGAGGUUGUAACCAUAUUUGUGCUUUUGGGAAUCUGAGGUUUUUGAUUGAUGACUAAUUUUGCAAAUAACUUUAGGCAUAGUUUUGCAUGAGUGACUGGGCAUGAAAUCUUGUACAUUGGAACAAACGUAUAUCUCCUAUGAUUUUUAACUGCUUAUUUAUUUACCUCUAUGUGCAAACACCCACGUGAAAGUCAGAGGAUCCCUCAUGGGAGUCGGUUCUCAAUCUACCAAGCCUGUAAAGCUGAGGAUCUUACUGGCCCCAUGCUCUUCGUUUUAUUUAUUGGAGCUGAGAAAGAUAUAAGCUUUCUUAAUAAACAUGUGUCGUUUCCAAGCCAGGAUAUUGAAAUACUUUCCUUGUGGGACUAGAACACUCAGUGGGCGGAGAGUCCAAAUCUGUUCACUUCAGGAUCAAGAAACCAAAAAGCUCUUUUUCUUCUAACUUAUCCUUAGACGAGAAACCCACAAACUGACUUAGCCAUUGUGAUGUGCCCAGCGGAGAGCAGGUGCGUGCAGGAUGGAAAGGGCCUUCUUCCUGUCUUCGUAGGGCUCUGACUUAGUCACCUGCCCUGCUGUUCCGACACCUGGUAAAGGCUCCUUAAGGAAAGGUGAAUUUCGGUGUGGACUGUGCGGAGAUGGUCCCUGCUAUUUGGAUUCAAGAUUAUUUCACCUGGGGCUGAUGGUGCCAUCCCACUCCAAGGGAGGCCAAGGCAGCAGGAUGGCGAGUUGAAGGCCUGCCUGUGUUGUAGAGUGAGCUCAGAACCAGCUUGGACAACUCAGCAAAAGGUUUGUCUCAAAACCUAACACAAGGACUCAAGAACGAGUCUGGGGAGCUGGAGAGGGGCUCCGUGGUGAAGAACACUCUAGCUGCUUUUCCAGAGGACUUGAGUUCCAUUCCCAGGACCACAUGGCAGCUCAAGGGGUUCCAGUACCCUUCC